rnacentral:rRNA from 1 species
CGCCGGACGGGUGAGUAACACGUGGGGGAACGUGCCGUCGAAAGUGGGGGAUAGCCUUCCGAAAGAGGAAUUAAUACCGCAUAAAGCCAAGUUUCACAUGGAAUUUGGAUGAAAGGAGUAAUUCGCUUUGAGAUGGACCCGCGGCGCAUUAGUUAGUUGGUGGGGUAAUGGCCUACCAAGACAGCGAUGCGUAGCGACCUGAGAGGGUGAUCGGCCACAUUGGAACUGAGAUACGGUCCAGACUCCUACGGGAGGCAGCAGUGGGGAAUAUUGCACAAUGGGCGAAAGUGGAUGCAGCAACGCCGCGUGAGUGAUGAAGGUCUUCGGAUUGUAAGCUCUGUCUUUGGGACGAUAAUGACGGUACCAAAGGAGGAAGCCACGGCUAACUACGUGCCAGCAGCCGCGGUAAUACGUAGGUGGCGAGCGUUGUCCGGAUUUACUGGGCGUAAAGGGUGCGUAGCGGAUGUUAGUGAGAUGUGAAUACCGGGCUAACUUGGGUGCUGCAUUUCAACUGGAUAUCUAGAGUGCAGAGAGAGAUGGAUUCUAGUGUAGCGGUGAAUGCGUAGAGAUCAGGAGACACCAGUGGCGAAGCGAUUCUCUGGACUGUAACUGACGCUGAGGCACGAAGCGUGGGUAGCAAACAGGAUGAGAUACCUGGUAGUCACGCCGUAACGAUGAGUACUAGUGUAGAGUAUCGACCCUCUGUCCGCGUACACAUUAGUACUCGCUGGAGUACGAUCGCAGAUAAACUCAAGGAUUGACGGGGCCCGCACAAGCAGCGAGCAUGUCGGUUUAAUUCGAAGCAACGCGAAGAACCUUACCUGGACUUGACAUCCCCUGAAUAACCUAGAGAUAGGCGAAAGCUUCGGGGCAGGGAGACAGGUGGUGCAUGGUUGUCGUCAGCUCGUGUCGUGAGAUGUUAGGUUAAGUCCUGCAACGAGCGCAACCCUUAUUGUUAGUUGCUAACAUUCAGUUGAGCACUCUAACGAGACUGCGCGGUUAACGCGGAGGAAGGUGGGGAUGACGUCAAAUCAUCAUGCCCCUUAUGUCCAGGGCAACACACGUGCUACAAUGGGCAGAACAAAGAGAAGCAAUACCGCGAGGUGGAGCCAAACUCAAAAACUGCUCUCAGUUCGGAUUGCAGGCUGAAACUCGCCUGCAUGAAGCUGGAGUUGCUAGUAAUCGCGAAUCAGCAUGUCGCGGUGAAUACGUUCCCGGGCCUUGUACACACCGCCCGUCACACCAUGAGCCUGCCAACACCCGAAGUCGUAGUCUAAGCGUAAGAGACCCC